rnacentral:rRNA from 1 species
AACAGGAUUAGAUACCCUGGUAGUCCACGCCGUAAACGAUGGAUACUAGCUGUUCGGUUGUAAGACUGAGUGGCUAAGCGAAAGUGAUAAGUAUCCCACCUGGGGAGUACGGGCGCAAGCCUGAAACUCAAAGGAAUUGACGGGGGCCCGCACAAGCGGUGGAGCAUGUGGUUUAAUUCGAUGAUACGCGAGGAACCUUACCAGGGCUUAAAUGUAGUAUGACAGGUUUGGAAACAGAUCCUUCUUCGGACAUAUUACAAGGUGCUGCAUGGUUGUCGUCAGCUCGUGCCGUGAGGUGUCAGGUUAAGUCCUAUAACGAGCGCAACCCCUGUUGUUAGUUGCCAGCGAGUCAUGUCGGGAACUCUAACAAGACUGCCGGUGCAAACCGUGAGGAAGGUGGGGAUGACGUCAAAUCAUCACGGCCCUUACGUCCUGGGCUACACACGUGCUACAAUGGCAGGUACAGAGAGCAGCCACCAUGCAAAUGGGAGCGAAUCUAUAAAGCCUGUCUCAGUUCGGAUUGGAGUCUGCAACCCGACUCCAUGAAGCUGGAAUCGCUAGUAAUCGCAUAUCAGCCAUGAUGCGGUGAAUACGUUCCCGGGCCUUGUACACACCGCCCGUCAAGCCAUGGAAGCUGGGGGUACCUGAAGUCGGUGACCGCAAGGAGCUGCCUAGGGUAAAACUGGUAACUGGGGCUAAGUCGUAACAAGGUAACC